rnacentral:rRNA from 1 species
CUGAGAGGUUGAACGGCCACAUUGGGACUGAGACACGGCCCAGACUCCUACGGGAGGCAGCAGUGGGGGAUAUUGCGCAAUGGGGGCAACCCUGACGCAGCAACGCCGCGUGAAGGAUGAAGGUUUUCGGAUUGUAAACUUCUUUUAUUAAGGACGAAAAUUGACGGUACUUAAUGAAUAAGCUCCGGCUAACUACGUGCCAGC